UAUUAAAUAUCUAACAUUUCCCUUCGGCUUUUGGUAUAUCAUGUGUCAUCUUUCGAUUUAUCCAUAUCGGCUAGCCACGUGGAACGAAUCGUUUAUCAUAGGCCACUAUUUUUUUUACGCCAAUUUGUUUAUUUUUUAAAAUUUUCCAAAUAUGCCAUGUUUGUGGAAGCAAUUCCCAAGUCCCUUGCUUUCUCCUUCGCCCACUAUAAUAGUUCAAGUAAUUAAAAGUUGAUGUGAUUGAUUGUAUAUAAUAAAUUUAAUUUAUAAAUAUUGUUUGUCUUAAGAGUUAAAUUAUACUUUUGGGUCCUCAAAUUAUAUCUUGCGUUACACUUUAUUAUCAAACUUAAAUUUAUUAUUAUAACUUUUCGUUCACACUUUAUUAUUUAUUACAAUUAAAAGUUAUAUUUUAAUUUAUUUAAUUAAAUAUUAAUGAGUCUGUAAUAUAAAAGUGAUACAAUAAUAUCGUGAUUAAUAACGUGAUAAAAACAACACGUCAAUAUUUAGUCAACUAAAUUGAAUCGUAGAAUUUUCGACUAAAAAUUUACACUGAAUAAAAGUUUGAGAACUAAAGCAUUACAAGUCUUACAGUUUGCGGAUUAAAAGUGUAAUUUAUGCAAAAAAAAAAUUGAUAAUUUGUUUUCCAUUUUUUUUUUUAUAAAUGCUCAUUCAAAAAAAAGAAAAAACCAAAAACAAAAAAAAACUACGUUUCCAUAUAAUGGUGGACGCUUGAUGUGGACAGUGGACCCAACGAGCCAAAAGUCCACGGCCUAAGACUCAGCUUGGUGGGCCCACCAAAGCAUUAUGGGCCGUCCAUUCCUUCAAUCAAAAGGGCCCACCGUCGAUGGGCCCCUCCUCGUGAUCCCGGACCACGGCGUAGCUGGCCGUAGACCCGCCCGGUUUUUCCCCUUUUUAAUUUUACCUAAUAUUAUUGCCUACACCAAGUGCACCAUGUAAGCCAUAUACAAACCAAUAGCUUACCUAAUAAAGCCUUGCAAAGCUCAAACUCAAAACCAUGCGUAACAUAAAAAUAUUGUAAAAUAUCCGUAAUUCUUUAAACACUAUGCCACAAAAAUCGUUGUUUUUAAUAUUAUUUACGCAAGCAUGCAAUACGAUAUCAGAAGGUAAUGAGUUUCUAGUCUGACAAAACUUCUAGUUUUAAUAAAUUUUCUUCUAUUUUAUUAAUUGUCUCUAACAUAAGUGUCAAAGGAUUUUAUAGAUGGUAUUUGAGAUUUUAAGUUCAAAGCAUAGUCACUUCACAUUUGUAGCUAGAUUUUUAAAUGAAACGGGUUGCAUUUUGAUUUGUACACUAAUUUACUGAUUUAUCGAAAAGUGUUUGUGAUGAGAUAUAAUUUAGAGGAUAUUAUAUAUACUAAAAAUAUUGUUCUAUAACAAAAUUAAAUUUUUUUUUUCAAAUUGGUUGGUUAUUUCAUACACACUAUCAUUUCUUUCAAUUCUCAGUAUUGAAAAAAUAUAUAUAUACUUUUGAAGUUCUAAGAAGUAUAAGGCUUCGUUUGGAAUUGUGAAAAAAUUACGUUAUAUGUGGUGAAAAAAUACGAUAAGAAAAUACUUUGUUUGUUUUCAUACAUAAUAUUGUGCAUAUCGCGAUGAAUCGAUUAGCGGUUUUACAGGAUAAAGCAGAAGUACAUCACUAUAUAUUUUUACCUAAAUUCUAUUUUAUUUAAUAGCGUCAGACAAGUCUCAAUACCAAACUGUGCCUAAAAAAAGUAUACUAGGUACCUAAAGAAGUAAUUAGAUUAAGAGAAGAUGAUUAGGAGGUCCACCGAUGAUUUGGUAGACCAAGUCCAUAGUGUAAUUCCUCAUCAAUCCAACCCAGCGUUGUACGGGCGGAUACAUAGAAGCCAAUAGCCAAUCCUCACAACUUAGACAUAAUUGGGUUGGCACAGAGCUUUACUUUGAUUAUUAUAUUAAUGAGGAUAACUUAAUUAAAUUACGUACAUAGUUAGCCACAGUUUAAUACAGAUUCUUAUUGUACACAUAUAUAUAUAUAUAUAUAUACACUUUUUACGUCAAUCAAAGUCGUAAUUUUUCGAGGCCAAUUACGUGUCAACUUCAAUCUCCUUUCGCAUAAAUUAAAAUUGAAAAGCCUCUGUGCGGAAAAAUUAUUCGUGUAACGUAUGCUAUCUAUACAUCUUGCGGAUAUAAUUUAAUUUAUUACGCGGAUCUUUCCAUGCAUAUUUGAAGGAAAGUGAUGGUAACCCAUACAAUUUUAUAAUAUAAUAUAUAUAUAUUAUAUAAAAUUACAUUCAUUUAAGUUAAUGAAAAAUGACAAAAUUCACCAAUGUUUUGACCUUGGUUUCCACGAUACACGUGGAGGGGAGUUUCCCGGGAAAACGUUUUCCGUUACGGUAGUACAUCACGAUCGUAUGAAGAAUUUUGACCAAUCAAACACACAAAAAAAAAAAAAAAAAAAAAAAAUUCCUUUGUAACGAAAAGCAUGCGAAAAUAUUAGUUAAGGAAUCAAUUUCAAUAGAACUUAUAAAUAAAGUGUCUCUACAUAUUUUCAUCAUAAUAAAAAUUCUAAUCGCAUUGUUUACUUUUUUUUUUUUUUUCUCUCUCUCUUUGUUGUUGUUGUUAAAAAAAGUGUAUGUAAAAAAAACAAUUUAAAAUGAUGAAUAACUUUAUUUGAAAAGAAUGUGAUUCGAAAAUGAUUUACCUCUUCUUAUUUCCUUAUUUAAUUGAGAAAAAGUAAACAAUGCAAGUAAAUUUUGAAGAUGUGAAGUGAUCAAAUUUAUCGUAAUUAAAAUUUCUCUCUCCCUCUCUCUCUUUCUAUAUAUAUUCUCUAUUAGAAACUAGCUUUUUGGUAAAUAAAAUAGUAUAUUUUGAUUUUCUCUGGUUUGGUGUAUUAAUAAAGGGAAAUUUUAAAAAAUCUUAUGUAAUUUUGCACUUUUUCAUUUUAGUGUCUUGUGAUUUAAAGUACAUCAAGUUAGUACCCUGUGGUUUUGCACUUUCUCAUUUUGGCACCAUGUGGUUUAAAGUAUAUCAAGUUAGUACUCUGUGGCUUUAUUUUUGUAUCAAAUUAAUACAUUGUGGUUGUAUUUUUGUGUCAAGUUAGUACCCCGUUGUUUUAUUUUUCUCUUAAUGAAAUAUUAAACCACAGGAUACUAAAGUGAGAAAGUGCGAAACCACAGAGUACUAACUUGAUACACUUUAAAUCACAGAAUACUAAAGUGAGAAAAAGUGAAACUACAAGGGGGUAUUUGAAGUUUUUCCCUUAAUAAAAAUAAGAACAGCUCAUUAAAUAUAAUAAUAAAUUAAUAUUUUUACAACUUACAGCAAAAGUGUAAUUUGAAAAAAAGAAAAAAGAAAAAAAAGAUGCUAUAUGAUUUAUAAAAAUAUUACUUUAUUAUUCUACUUAGCAAUAAAUUAUUACAAUAAAAUAAAAUGAAGUAUGUGGGGGCGUUUGGAUUGACGAAUUUGUAGAUUCAACAUAAGUCAAGUGUAGUGGUGUUUGAGUUUCCCUGAAGUGUGAUUAUUUUUCUGUUGUUUGUUUUGACGUAACUCGUACCACUGAAAGUUAAAUUCAAUCACUUCUGCUGUUUGUUUUGAUGUAACUUGGUGCUGGUAAAAUUAAUUUUUUGAGUUCCGUUGUUUGUUUUGAUGUAAGUAAGUGGAUCCCAUUAUCUCCUAAAUAUAGUAAUAAAUUUAUCAAUAUAAAAUUUAACCUAUUAUAUAAUUAAAUUUUUUAUUAUUAUUUAAAGAUAAUCUUAAUUUAUUAUAAAUAAGGUAAUUCUAACCCAUUAUAAAGAAAGUAGAGUUUAGGUUUUACUGUUUAAUAAAUUGUUUAGAGCAGGUUGAGUGUGGUGGAAGUCGAGUUCGGUACUUUAGAGCCGGAAGUCGAGAGUAGAUGAAGUGGAGCUCUAACGUAACUUGAAUUACAUUAUAUUUUUUACUUACACCAAAACAAAUAACGGAAGUGAUGGAACUUGAGUUCCAUCACUCCACUUACCCCAAAACAAACGGGCAAACUGCAGUGGGAUAAGUUAAAGUUUUUUUUAGUAAAAUAAUUUUAUAAAUAAAUUAUCUGAAAUAUAUAGUAAGUACGAAAUUUAUAAAAAGAAAAUAAAAAAAUAAACGGACGCUGGGAGCGGGGACUGAAAUGGUGGGACCCACAUCUACUCAUUGAAAGGAAUUUUUAAUUAUUAUUUAUAUUUAUUAAAAAAAAGAAAUCUAACUAAAUUUUGACGACAUAAAUAAAAAAUUAUUUUAAUAAUUUAUAUUAAAAAAAAAUGCUGCGAGGGAUGGGGGAGAGAGAGAGAUAAAGAGGGGGGCGAAAACACCCACCGAAGCAUCAAAGCGAAGCUCCAAUUUUUUUUUUUUUAAUUCUUUUUUUGAGGAGAAAAAUCGAAGGGACGAAGGAGAAGAGGAAGAGGGGGAGCAACAAAUCGAGUUAUAGAGAAUGGAGAGGUGAAUUUUUUUGGGGAAUAAUAAAGGAGAUAAUUGUAAUAAUAAUAAAUCGAAGAGAGAGUGCUCUUCCUCCUCUAUAUCCACUCGUAAGUCUCGCCAUUUUUUUUUUACCGUAUUUUUGCUAGAAAUUUUUGUGUGAUUUGGUUGAGAUCUCAUUCUAUUUUGUCUCUGGAAGUGGUUUUGGGGGAAAAGGAAGGACUUUUCGUGUUUUUUUUCUAAAAUUUUUUAUCUCGAUGUGGGGAUUUUUGUUUAGAUCUUUGGUUCCGUGGGGAUUGAUGUUGUGGGAGGAGAAAGAUUCUGGAGUAUUUGGAUUUAUUGUUUGACAAUAAUGGAGAGGAUCUGUUGGUGUUCCUAGGGUUUUUUUUUUUUUUUUAAAAAUUCUACGUUUCCUUUUUUGGGUAGUAGUAGUUUUCUAAAUUUUAUAGGCAAAACCUAGGUUAUACUGCACCUAAAUCCAUUGAAAUUUUGCAUUUCUAUGGUAGGAGUUUUAGAGACCUCGAAAAUUUUGAUCUUUUUUCUUGUUUCCCUUUCCCUGAUUCAUGUUUUGGAUUGAAAAGGAGUGCGUUUCGAUAAUUUUUGGAUGUGAUUUAGUGGCUUGUUUUAUUUUCUGGUACAAAGUUAACAAUUUGGGCUAGAUGGAUUGAAAUAAUUGAUGCAUCUUCCUCUUUUGCGCAUCCAGAUUGUGGAUUUUGGGGUUUGAUAGGGGUCGUUGUUUCGCCUCCUCCGAAUUCUUGAGCUUCGCGAAUCUGGUUACAAAUCGGCCGAUAUGUUGGAGGGCCAAUCUUGCUUGAUCAGGGCAUUGCCGAGCUCCUGCGAGCACGAAUCCAAGUGGGUGUACAUGACCUACCAGCUCCUCGAGAUCACGAGCAACAAAUGCCCGCCAAGUGCUGGAUUUGAUGAGCAAGAUCACGCCUUUCUCCCCAAAAGAUUGAAAUUGCCGAAGAAUUCAGAUCCCCUGGCAGAUCAGUCUGAUUGCCAGGGCAAUCAUGGUGGCGGCAGCCGCUACUCUGAUUCGACCUCCCUUAUCAAUCCUAUAGGCCGCGACAACUCUAUUAAUUGUCUACUCCGUUGUUCGCGCUCCGAUUAUGGAGCCCUAGCUUGCCUUAACCGAGGCUUCCGGUCACUUAUUCAGAGCGGCGAGCUCUACAGGUUACGGCGCCAAUUAGGGAUUGUCGAGCACUGGGUUUACUUCUCGUGCAAUGUCCUCGAAUGGGAGGCGUAUGAUCCAAACAACGGGCGGUGGAUGACCCUCCCCAGGAUGCCCCAUAAUGAGUGCUUCAUGUGUUCGGAUAAGGAGUCGCUAGCGGUGGGCACUGAGCUCCUUGUUUUCGGAAAAGAAAUCCUUUCUCAUGUAGUGCAUAGAUAUAGCAUUCUAACAAACUCUUGGUCUCCUGGUAUUGAGAUGAAUUCUCCUCGGUGCUUGUUUGGAUCAGCUAGCCUUGGAGAGAAAGCAAUUGUAGCGGGCGGUACAGACGUUUUCGGGAAUAUUUUAAGCUCCGCGGAGCUGUACAAUUCUGAGAUUCGAACUUGGGAGACUCUUCCCAGCAUGAAUAGGCCUCGGAAAAUGUGUUCUGGUGUUUUUAUGGACAGGAAGUUCUACGUGAUUGGCGGAAUGGCUAGCAACACAGAGUUGCUAACUUGUGGGGAAGAGUUUGACUUAGAGAAGGGUACUUGGAGGGUCAUACCGAACAUGUCCAACGGGCUUAAUGGGCCUAUGGGCGCACCCCCUCUUGUUGCGGUUGUUAAUGACGAGUUGUAUGCCGCGAGCUAUGCAGAGAAGGAGGUGAGGAAGUAUGAUAAAAAGAACAAUAGUUGGAUAACCUUAGGGAAACUGCCGGAGAGACCAGAUUCGGUGAAUGGCUGGGGAAUCGCAUUUAGGGCGUGCGGGAAUAGGCUUGUAGUGGUCGGUGGGCCGAGAGCAUUGGGCGGUGGGAUGAUCGAACUCCAUUCGUGGGUCCCAAGGGAGGGCCAGCCGGAGUGGGACAUGAUCGCUAGCAAGCACUGCGGGAGCUUCGUCUAUAACUGCGCUGUGAUGGGCUGCUGAUUUUUUAGGGCUCUACUUGUGCAAAAAAUUCAUUUAUUGAGGGGCACAUAAUACUAAUUCUGCUUAAUGGGUAAUCUCUGCCUUAUUUUUGAUGUUUCAGAUUUUACUCAACAUUCGGUAGGCUCGCUUCCGUUCCUUGUUCUCUUGACCAUUUAUCUUUCUUUGUUCUUUUGCGCCAUUUAAUUUGGAUCAAAGACUUUUAACUUCUUACUCUGUAUUCUGUUGGAAUGGGGAUUUCUGAAGAUAGAUCAUGCAUUUAGCGGUGAAUUGUAAAACGAUGUAUCCUCCAUUUGUAGAUUGUUAUUCGAUUCUAGAUCAAGAUUAUAAACUUCUUAGCUGUACUGUUGUGCUAUAUCAUUGUUGUCUGGUUUGUUGAGGGAAAAUAAAUGGUCGCUUUUAUGUACUCCUUUUUGGCCACAGAAUGUGGUCUAUUAGUCAUUGAACUUUUAUCAUAUUUGCAUCUUAUGUUGCUUUGAUGCCAUCACGUCUCGGAUUUGGUCAUGUAAAAUAUUCAGUUGAUUGUAUUAAAAACAACAGUGACUUAAGGAGAAGUGAUCAUUUCUGUCAAUUUAGCUAAUGGUAUUUCUGAUUAUUAGUAGUAUUAUGACUGGCUUGUCUGCUUUCUUUGUUGGAAGGGCUACAUACGUAUUUAAUUUGUUUUGUUUUGUGUUGCUAAUUUUCUGCGAAAAAUGCAUCAUCCUUGUGGACGGCUGUGAUGUUUAAUUAAGGUGUCAUAACUCCUUUGGAACAUUUGCUUCCUCUCCAAUCGACUUGUAUUUUUUUAUUUUAUGUGCUUUUAUUUUUGAGCUUACUAUAUGUGCUUUGUAAUGUGUAUUUCUAGUAGUUUGUGGGGGUACAUUUUGCGUCUUAGUCGUCUAUAUCAAUUGCUUAUACUUUUUUUUUUUCCCUGAAUGCUUUUGCUCGUUAGACUUACGAAAUCGAAAGAAGACAAAAUAUUUUCUGCCAAGAAUGAAACCAAAAUCUUUGAAUUCUCGUAAACUUCUCCUAACUUCUCUUCCUUUGUGCCCACUCAUGUAGGGCACUACUGUCGAAUUUCUUUAUAAGUUUGUAAUAAAUAUGUAUUAUAGAAAGUAAUUCAUGAAUUAUGCUUCGCUAAAGCGUCCAAGUAAUACUGCAAUUGAUAACUUGUCGUGAAUAGUGAAAUUUUUAGAUUCUAUCAGAAGUUCUUUUUGCAUUUGAGGAGUAGCGGUGCAGAUAUUUUAGUUCAAGAUUGCGAUUCAGUCGUCUGAAAAUUUUAUGUUUGUCAACUUUGCUGCUUCAAAUGCUUGUUAGUAUGGAAAUGACCUUAUACUGGAGUAGUUAUCUUAUGCGUCUACAUGCUUCAUAGAGUAACUGCUUAUCUUGUUAUUCUAGAAACACUGAACUGAUAAUGAAUGGUCAAAAGAAAUGUAAGUUUUAUGAUUCAUUAUCAUGGUGUGUUUUGGUUCCUUCAUCUGGUUAUUUGGUCUACCAACUCAGCAUCUCCGCGAAUGCGGCUUUUUUAACUGCUUAGUGAUUUCUAUAAUUUAGGCUUUUCCGGUCGCUUUUCUUUUUCAAACACAAAAAUCUUUUUACUGCUGCAGUUUUGAGCUGUGCACAGCAGUUUUCUUUUUCUGCUUUCACUUUGUAUGCUCAGUGGACUAAAAAUCUGAGAACCAAUCAUCUAAAAUGUAAUUCUAUGUGUCAGAUAUAGACAGCAUAUACGAAUAGCGGAAAAACAAACAGUUUUGGCGCAUCUACUGCUGCUUUGUAUUCGCCGAAUUCUUUUUACUGCAGCAACAUUUUGCCGUUCCUUCGAUGUUUACGGCGCGGCGGGAGACUCUUCUUCGCGCAUUCACUGCUGGCACAGCAGGAUGAAUUGGCAGCUUCGGCAGUGCUUGAGCUGGAAGCGCUUGUUUGAAAAGUAAGCGAUCGAGAAGUACUUCACUAAUGUCACCUCUGAGCAUUACAAAGUAGAUUUUGGAUUUUAAAUUUUGAAUUUUGAAUUUUAAAUUUAAUUUGUUGCUUUUCGAUUUUAAAAGUCGUCAAAUUCGAUUUGAAUUUGAAAACAUUUUAGAGUACGAAGAGAGAAAAAGGUGCGCAGUGAGUGGUGGGAGGAGGAGGGGGAUCAUUCCUGAUUUUGGUGAACCGUACGUAGGGGACCGUAGAAGGGGAAUGGGGACGAGAAAGGAACGAAUCGCAGUCUUGGAAAAGCGUGCGCCCGUCCUAUUGGUCCCCGCGACGGGUGGGGUCCGCAUGAGUGGGCUGUGAUUGGUCGGAAUCUAAGGACCACGAUUAAAAAGUACGUGGCGUUGCGGUACUUUCCCCCACCGCAACUUUUUUUAUGCUUGUAUACCCGUAGUCUGAUUGAUAGAUAUUCUUAUCUACGAAAAUGUUAGCUUGGUAGCUGCUAAUCGGACUGAAGAAAUGUUUCAAAAUCCUAAAAAAGAAAAACAUGCAUAUAUAUAUAUAUAUAUAUAUAUACCGGUAGUCUGAUUGAUAGAUUUUCUUAUCUCCGAAAGUGUAAAAAAAACAUGCAUAUAUAUACCGGUAGUCUGAUUGAUAGAUAUUUUUAUCUCCAAAAGUGUAAGAAAAAUAUGCAUAUAUAUAUAUAUACCGGUAGUCUGAUUGAUAGAUAUUCUUAUCUCCGAAAGUGUUAGCCUGCUAAUCGGAUUGAAGAAAUGUUUUAAAAUCCUAAAAAAGAAAAACAUGCAUAUUGCCUGCUAAUCGGAUUGAAGAAAUGUUUUAAAAUCCUAAAAAAGAAAAACAUGCAUAUUUAUAUAUACAUCUGCUUUUGCAUGUUCAGAUGGCAUAGAAGAGAUUUUUUUUCGUUUAUUUUAUUUAGAAAUAAAUUUAGCUGAAAAUGUGAAUCAACUAGGAUUCGAACUUGGGUCUUGGGUACCAACAACCAAGCUUUUUUCCACUUGCUCUAAGAACGGUCAGUGCAUAGAAGAGAUUAUAUUGUAAGUGAAUUGUUGCGAUCUACAUGUAUUCUUGUUGAUUUUUGGUUCAAAAUCUCAAUAGCUAUUCGACCAAAUCAAAUUGAAAAAUCUUAGGUCGAAUCGGGUCAAUCGAAAAAAGGGAACGUAUUUUCAGACCCGACUAGGCCCAGUAGACCGGACCAUACUCGGCCCAACAAGCACACGAAAUAGUUUAUUGGGAAAAAAAUAAUAAAAAAAUAAAGGAAAAACUAUGACUCGUUGUUCAAUUGUUUGAAACUUCAGUAGGAGUUAAGUAUUUACAGUCUUAUUAAAAUAAUAUAUAAUUACAUAUAAUUUGCUCUGGAACCAAAAACACUUGCUUUUGUAAUUAUUGGCAAUAUCGAAUAUUAUGCAACUUUAAUCAGGGACAUUUGAGAUGUACUAAACAGUAAAAUAAAACAAAAUGUUGAUUUUUACGUUAUUAUGGUAAAUAAUAAUAAUAAUAAUAAUAAUAAUAAUAAUAUAGAAUAUAGUGCUUACCGCUUAAACGGACGGCCGAGAUUAACGCAUCACUACUCUUCUAACCGGAAACUUCCGCCGUUAUUUUCCUUCCCGCACGCUCUCGCUCACCUCCUUCCUCCUCCCUCCCGGCAACGCCAAACCCUAACCCUAACCCUAACCCGAAUCCAACGUCUCCUCAUUAGAUCGAAGAUAUCCAUGGCGUAAGGAGCGACGCGAUCCAUGGAAGCGGCCCCGGGGCUGCCCCGGCCUACCGAUCUCACCCCCUCCAUCCUCCGAUUCCUCGCCGAUGAGUUCCGCGCCGCGGAGGACCUCUCCAAAUCGGCGGAUCUCGAAUCCGGGAUCAGGGAUCGGUGCGCGAAUCUCGAGGCCGUCCUCGACGAUCUGGGCCGCAGGCUCUCCGAGGCCGUCGCCGCGUACGCCUCCCACGCCGGGGAGGUCGAGGGGCUCCUCGGCAGGGUGAGGGAGGGGUUGAUCGAUCUCCGCGCCUCCGUAUCCGAGUCCUCUCAAGGUUCGGUUUGAUCGUUGCUUUUUAUAGAUAGAAUUUGCGCUUUUGACUACUUCAAUAUACGGCGAGUUGUAAUUGUGAGAAGGGCAAUGGUCGUAGGUGUUGGAGAAGGGGAUCGAUCGGAGAGGAGCGAGCGGAUCUUGCUAGAGGAGCUACCGGCGUUGGCGAAGGAGGUGGCGAGAGUGGAGACGGUCCGCGCGUAUGCUGGUAAUGUGCCAACUCAUUUAGACUUAUGCAGUGGAUUUGCUGUUGAGUGCUUAAUUUGUAACGAAGUUGAUGAAUCUGCGAAAUGUGCUGCUUUUUGAAUCCUAAAUUUAUCUUUCCUUUUUCAAGAAAGAAAAUUUUUUAGUACAAUCACAGUAUCCAAAAAAUAAUGCAUAAAAAUUUAGACUUUUUAUAGUUUUUGAAAUUCUUAGUUCAAAUUCAACAAAGGUAAUUACCGGCGAGGGGCGACAGUGGUGGAGAAGGGAGGCCGACUUGUGUUUGCUUUCAUUCGAUCCAGGAAUGAGGGGAAUUGAACGCAGGGAUAAGAAAACAGAUGAAUGUUUGAUAGGCCAUUAUGAAUAAAUAAAGGGUCAAGCUGUUGGAUAUGCAACUAUGGACAAAUACGAACGUGCUAAGAUCUUUUCACCAAACUAACAGUUUCAGAAGACCUAUUUAUACGUACCACAGAACUCAUGUUGGUUUAAAGAGAUAUAAUUCAGGUUGUAAUUUUUGGUUGUUUCGCUUAGUGAAGAUGCUACGAUGCAUAGAUCAAAUAUUUUGGCUACCAAUUUACUGAAACUUGAAUCUGAAGGUUAUUCUAAUCUUUUUUUGGAAAAAACGGAUCCUUUCCAACACAAAUGUGUUGAUUUUGCUUUUAGUUCAUAACUGGAUUUUUAAUACUAGAGUUUCUGCUAGUUUGGCUUCAGAUUCGGAUACAUUUAUGCUUAUGCAAUAUUCAAGUAAAGCUGUAGUAUCUUCAACUUCACCUUUUAUGAGUAACUUGUUUGAAAAUUUCUCAUCUUCUGACAUUUCCUGUUUGCUUAUUAGAGUUAUGGAUUGUAGUUUACUAUCAUGGAUUAAAUUUAUUUAUGGGAGGUUUUAUCCUGCACAGAAACGGCAUUAAAACUUGACAGCUUGAUUGGGGAUGUAGAGGACACAGUUUCUUCUUCUGUCGCAGGAAAACUACGAACUCAUAAUGCUGUUAAUUCAGAGGUGCGAAAUGCUAGAUUGCAAAGGUGGAAACUCUAUAAUCACCAAGCUUUUAUGCUUUUAUUAACCGUUCACCUUUUCUCUUUAUUCACAGGAAACUCGUCAAAUGGCUAUCAGCUUUCUCAAAGACAUAGAGGACAUAUUGAUUUCAGUUACUAAAACAAGGCCUCAAUGGACUCGUCUUGUCGCGGCUGUGGACCACAGAGUUGACAGAGCUUUAGCUGUUCUAAGGCCACAAGCAAUUGCUGAUCAUCGAUCUCUUCUAGUCUCCCUUGGGUGGCCUCCUCCUUUAACUGGUUCAAAUCUUCUAAAUACGAAUUCAUCAAAAACAGCCGAGCUUUCAAACCCUCUAUUUUCAAUGAGGGGGGACCUUAAGAGUAAAUACUCCGAUAGCUUCCUCUCCCUCUGCUGCUUACAGGAACUGCAAAGACGGAGAAAAGCUCGACAAUUAGAAGGAUAUAAUCUUGAAACCCUAAUUCGCCAACCAUUGUGGGUUAUCGAGGAGCUAGUGAAUCCAAUAGCCGUGGCCGCGCAACGCCAUUUCUCUAAAUGGGUUGAGAAACCUGAAUUUGUGUUUGCUCUCGUGUACAAGAUCACUAGAGAUUUCGUUGAUUCCAUGGAUGAGAUAUUGCAACCACUUGUGGACAAGGCCAGGCUUGUAGGAUAUAGCUGCAGAGAGGAGUGGAUCUCGGGAAUGGUUACUGCACUAUCGCUAUAUUUGUCGAAGGAAGUAUUCCCCAAGUAUGUUGAUCUUCUUCAGGAAAGCACAUCACAUGCUCGAGUAACAUGGCUCAACCUUGUUGAUUUGAUGAUAUCUUUUGAUAAGCGAACCCGGGCCCUGAUAACUAAUGCGGGACUGCUAAUGUCUCUUAAAGAAGACGAGAAUUUGCCGAGGAUAUCAGCUCUCUCUGUUUUUUGUGAUCGCCCAGAUUGGCUUGAGGUAUGGGCGGAAAUUGAAAAGGGGGAGAUACUAGAUAAGGUAAAAUUGGCGAUGCAGAAUGAGAAAAGUUGGAUUACAAGGAUUCGAGGGGCUGUUCUCAUAUCCGGAUCAGAUGAUUACAACUCUCCUGCUAUUUCUGGUGCUGUUCUUCAAGGUGUAUCUUUGUUAAUCGACCGGGCUCGUCCUUUGCCCAGCAUCAUGCUUAGAGCUAGGUUCAUCAGGUUGGCUCCUGCAUCAAUCUUGAUGGAAUUUGCUGAUUGCAUGCUCCAUAGAUGCCAAGAAGCAGAGGGCCUUACCGCUCUGGCAGAUGAUGAUGCCCUAAUUAAGGUUUCGCAGUGCAUUAACGCAGCCAGGUACUGUGAAUCAAACUUAAUGCAAUGGUGUGAGGAUGUCUUUUUCCUCGAGAUGGAAGCUUUACCGCCAGAAUUUGGUGGGAAAUGUAUUUUCGACGAGGAGAUAAACAAAUUGAAGGAGUUUAGAGUGGAAUGGGUUGAUAAAAUUUCAACCGUCAUUUUAAGGGGAUUUGAUGCUCGAUCACGAGACUAUCUAAAAAACAAGAAGCAAUGGCAGGACAAGUCAGAAGAGUUGGCCGUUUCAAGGAUCAUUGUCGGUUCUUUAGAUUAUCUUCAAGGUAAGAUAUCCAAAUUGGAAGAGCACAUAAAUGCGUUGGACUUUAUCACAAUGUGGAGAACUGUAGCAGAUGGGGUCGAUCAACUUCUAUUCAAUGGAAUUCUCAUGAGUGGUGCAAAAUUCUACAAUGGCGGUGUGGAGAGAUUAGGCGGUGAUCUUAAUGUGUUAUUCGGGGUGUUCGCUGCGUGGUGUUUGAGACCUGAAGGGUUCUUUCCUAAGCUCUAUGAGAGUUUCAGGAUAUUAAGGAUGGAUGAGAGUGCGCUCAAGGAAGGAAUGUCGAAAGCGAAGGAGAGGUGGCUGAAGGAGAACGGCAUAAGGCGCUUAAACAUAGUAGAGGUCGAGAAAAUAAUGAAAAGUAGGGUCUUUCUGUGAUGAUUAUCUCAUUAAUUUAUCUGAAAAAGGUAGACGAUAAACUAACAGUAGGUGUCUGUUAAGGAAAGAAAAAGAAAGAACUGUUUUAUUGGAAGUUGUUGUAGUCAAAUAGGGCUUCCCAAAAAUAUGAUCUUUUUCUUAUUCUUUUCAAUUAUAUUCUGUUUUUGUUCUUAUUUCCUUGAGGAUGUAAUUAUUUGCAAUAACAGAUCGUCUUUUAUGAGAUUAAUUGUUUAAGCUUCUCAAUUUUUUGAAAUGCUGUUUUUUCAGUUUGUUCCUGGUAAUCUUUUGCAAACUCACUGUACAGGCACUUCUUAGGAGAUGUUGCUGCUCUUUUCUUGGCUAUGUAUGUUAUCUUGCAAUAGUUUCGCAUGCCCUCUGCUUCUUUCACUUCGUGUCAUUUUGAUUGUGUACUCUCUGAAUAUUGUUUGACUUGCUGAUAUAUCCGCGAACAUUAUACGCCACCUUAUCUUUGCUAGAUUUGUCGGCAUCUUAUUAUUCAGCUGUAUUUUCAUUAAACAAACAGUUUAAAUCACUCGGGGAAAAUUUAUUUUAUGCCAUGUUGUCUAAACCAAACUAUUACAUUAAUUUGAUCUGGAGUUACCAGAAUUUUGUGAAUCAAGAGACAACUUCGAAUCUGAGAAACUGCAAAAAGUACAUCUUAGAAAUAAGAGUCUUUCUAUAGUUCGUACACUCUCUUGUAAUGCAUAAAGUGCGAUCCAAGUAGUAGUUUUAGAAGAACUAACUGUACUAACAGAGUCUUUCGACAAUACCAUAAAUAGCAUCAAAUUAGAGUUUCUAUAUUUGAGCCUCAAGAGUCUUUUUUACUCUCCACUACUACAGAAGCAAUAAAUUUUUUUCUAUCGUGUUUGUUGACAAUAGAUAAGCUAAACGAAUAGGAUAGAACGAGAGACGGACUACUAAAAAUCCAGUAGGCUUCCUGUUGUGGCGUCGACCCACAUUCGCCGCGAGAUCGAUGGAUCACCAGGUGAAGGACCACAAAAUCUUGCAAUGGUCCAUACAGAAAGAUUUUUCUUUUAACAUUGUGUGCUCAGAUAUGCUUAAAAGUUCCCUUUCCCCUGCAACAAAAAGAUAUGGAGAAGGCAUAGGUCAAUCUCAUAAUGUUGGCUGCUUUGGUUUGCAGAUCAUAUCUCUGUUCAUACUUGCUUUGGAUCUAUUUGGAGAAACUUCUUGGUUCCUGCUGUGGACCUAUCCCUAUCCUUAUACACUUCAUAUCGGAAACAUCGGGUUGAUUCGGCUACGAAACAAAUAAAUGCGAACUCUUUGAAGCCCCUUUCGUAGGAAAUUUGGUGAAGGAAUACGACAAUACAAGUUAAUCUUCUUUAAGUAUCAUUAUCAGAGAUCUAUUAGAAUACUGUUUUUACAGACGGUUGAUAUGUUGGUAAAAUCAGCACCUUACGGAAAGAAUAUUUAUUUUCUUCGCAUUUUUGUACCGGUGUAUUAUAAAGGCAUAUGGGUCAUAGACAUUCAUUAAUUCAUUGCGGUCACCAACAAGUUUCAUGAUGAAGAGUUAAUAGUCACUAGUUAUGGAUAUGAAAUUAAUGCAACAGCGAAUCAUCAUCAAAGUAAACAGUACAUUAUGCAAGGAAGGAUAAAGGAAAAUUGAUUUACCAAUGGUAAGUUCACAAUGCAUGUUGCGUGCGUAUAUGACAUACCUAGCUUCGGUAACAAUAUAUAAUUAGUAUAUGUAUAUCGUGCUCGCUUAUUAAUUGUAUUUUAAAAUAUGUUCUUAGUAUCUAUAGCAUUAAUAAAUCAAUCAGUAGAUUUUUAAUUACCAGGCCUCGGGCCUGUAGUCUCCAUAACCCUAAUCAAGCGAAACAUCCUAAUCAAUUUCGCCGCUUUGCGAAGUGCGGUACUCCUUAUAAACUUUUUGACGGCUAUUGUAGUUGUGAUGUCGUGAUGACACAUAAUGUGUGGAUAAAGGAGAUUGUUAAUAUCAAUACGCACGCACAGAAAUGCAAUGAACGCGACUUCUCCUGUUACGACAAGUGAUAAGAUUCUUGAAUGAAAAUAAAAUUGAAAGUUCAAAGUCAAUCGUUUAUUGCUGCUUAAAUGAAAGGAGUACUGAAUGACGGCAUAAAUAAAGAAAAGGAUCUCGACUCGUAAUGCAAAUUAAAUAUGUGAUAAAUGGUUGAGAUUCAACCGUACAAUCAGUAAACAAAGUAUUUCGUUGACUGUUAAUAAUGUGGAUACCUUCUUCUUUCUUUUUCUUUUUCUUUUUUUUUUUUUCUAAAAGCAUACAUAACAAAACCUGUGAUUUUCGACGAAUUGCGCAAUCGCACUAUUCCACGGCAUUAUUAAAUAGAAUUGAGUUAACAUUUGUUUAUACGAGUUCAAUAUGGUUCUUCAUAUUUGAACUAAUCCAAAUACGAAAUAACUCGACAAACGUGCUUACACUGCUAAUAAGAGGAGUCGUGCGUGAUAAAAUUUAUUGAAUCUGAUCAAAUUUGAUCGAGGACUAAUAAUUUGAUUGGACGAAUCUAUAUAUUAGUGUCAAAAUCAACAUCAUUGAUAACAUCAUGACCCCCCCACGACAAUCUAAAACUACUCAUCACAAUCAUGGAAAUCAUUGAGUACUAUUAUUAGGACGACACUGUUGCAUGAUUGGGACUUUUCUAGUACCAAUGUUUAGUGACGCAAUAGUUAGGAGAUUAGACACUUAUAACUUAUUCCUAACUCGGAAGGUUCCAUCAAAUGCCAACAAUAAGUAGCUGGCUACUAAAUACUAUAUUAGAUAUGUCAACGGACCGGAUUUGAGACGAAUUAUCAAAAAUUUGAAUCCAAAUUUGAUAAUUAAAUUCAAAUUCGAAUUCGAUGGAUUUUGAAGAUUCGUAUUCAGAAUAAAGUUCGAUCAAAAAUUUUAAAAAAGUUCAAAUUCAAAGCAAAUUCAAAUACAACAACAAGUAUUAAUUAUAAAUUAUGUUGCAUAAAAUUAAUUCGGAUUUGAGUUCACUUCUGAUAAAAGUAAAAUCCAUACCUGAAUACAAAUGAGUCGGAUUUUCGCUUUUUUUAUAUUUCUAUCUGAAAUCAUAUCAGUUUGGCAUCAGAUAAAUCCAGUCUGCUCUAAUUUAGCAUUAAUAAUAUUUUAAAAAGCUGAUUCAUUAAUAAUAAUUUUUUAAAAAUGUAAAAAGUAUCAAAAAUGUU
rnacentral:lncRNA from 1 species